AAUACUUCAACUCAUUAUGGCCUUGCUAUAGUGCAGUUGGACUUGGAGGUUGCUGGUAAUCGGCUCCUCUUAAAUGCAUUAGCUGGAACCUCAUGUGUAUCUCCGGUGUGAUAAUAUCUACUCCGCAUGAUCACAAAUUUGAUUCUGCUUCUAAUCGUCCUAAUAAAUGGACAAUACUUGAC
rnacentral:misc_RNA from 1 species